GACGAACGCUGGCGGCGUGCCUAAUACAUGCAAGUUGAGCGCUGAAGGUUGGUACUUGUACCAACUGGAUGAGCAGCGAACGGGUGAGUAACGCGUGGGGAAUCUGCCUUUGAGCGGGGGACAACAUUUGGAAACGAAUGCUAAUACCGCAUAAAAACUUUAAACACAAGUUUUAAGUUUGAAAGAUGCAAUUGCAUCACUCAAAGAUGAUCCCGCGUUGUAUUAGCUAGUUGGUGAGGUAAAGGCUCAACAAGGCGAUGAUACAUAGCCGACCUGAGAGGGUGAUCGGCCCAAUUGGGACUGAGACAACGCCCAAAAUCCUACGGGAGGCAGCAGUAGGGAAUCUUCGGCCAUGGGCGAAAGUCUGAACGAGCAACGCCGCGUGAGUGAAGAAGGGUUUCGGAUCGUAAAACUCUGUUGGUAGAGAAGAAAGUUGGUGAGAGUGGAAAGCUCAUCAAGUGACGGUACCUACCCAGAAAGGGACGGCUAACUACGUG
rnacentral:rRNA from 1 species